UGCCAUGGUCCCGUGGAACUUCCAAAACUCUUGGGGGGAAACCGUAUGAGACAAGCAAGCAUACACAACUGACGUCCUUGUGUAUUAAAACAUGUCCCCUACUAUCUGUGAACUAGGCGACGGAAACUUUGAAAAGAUGCUCAAAGACAAAAAUUUGGACAUUCUCGAAACGUCUACAAUAAUAAAGAAUUUAGAUCUCAAUCGAAUGAAACUCUGUCCUAGACUACAGCCACUGUCAUCUCUCGCGUUUUGUGCUUCUUUUUUGGAAUAAACACCAGAAGCUAACUUCAUUUGUUUCGGUCAAUAAUAAUAAUAAUAAUAAUAACAUUAAUAAUAACAUCCAUGAUAACUGUGGACCAGCGUUAUUUCGGAAAUAAAUUUCACAGGAGACUAUAUUUUAUGUUCCGUUUCAUGGUCGGACCGUCAGCUGCAGACAACUCUGCUCACACUCUGUGUUAGUGUCAAUCUGGAUGACGUCCCCUGCAGACUCGCUAUCUAAAUAGGAGUUCCCUAUAAAUGAGAUAUCAGUGGAAAUAUUUCUUGGAUAUCUGGUUUCAUGUCUUCGUGAAGGCGUAUACUGUAUACAAGACGUAGGCUGCAUUUGGGACGAGGCGCAACAACAUCGAAAGAUAUAUCUACAGAAAUCUAGUGCAGUUUGGAGCUUUAGCUGUGGCGCAGUUUGAAGAUAUUGAAAAUAGGAGUCCAGACAAGUAAAAUAAUACCAACACCUUAUAUCCUAUGUCGACAAGUUCACGACCCCUAGCAGUGUGAUCGCUCAGGAUACGAAGGUUUUUUCGCAUCAAAAUUAACCAUACCAGAAGAAGAGAACCUAAACGUUGAUCUAAUCUAUUAUUAGAAACUAUAAAAUGAUUGGUUGAAACCAAUAAAUGGCAGACAUUAUGA